AUGGGAUUGCUGGUGAAAACUGUCAACUUGCUGCUACUCAGUGUAGUGGUAUUAGAUGGUGAAAUUAAUCUUAUGCAGUUUCCAGCAUCCAUGGCCACAUCGCAAGAGGAGAAGGUUACUAUCACCUGCAGUGCCAGCUCAAGUGUAAGCUCCAAUUACUUCCACUGGUACCGGCAGAAGCCAGGAGCCUCCCCUAAAUGCCUGAUUUAUGGAACAUCCAACCUGGCUUCUGGAGUUACAGCUCGUUUCAGUGGCAGUGGGUCUGGGACCUCUUACUCUCUCACAAUUAGCAGCAUGGAGGCUGAAGAUGCUGCCACUUACUACUGUCAGCAGAAGAGCAGUGUCCCAUUCUCACAGUUCUACAAAGAAGAACUAAAAACCCUUUGGCCUUCUCAGGACACAGCUGCUUCCUUCUUAGAAGAUAACAUAUGGUCAAGAUUUUGA